rnacentral:tRNA from 1 species
AAAUAAGAAGUAAUAAUUUACAUAUUAAUUUCGACUUAAUAAUUGAUAAUAUAAUUAUCCUUAUUUU